rnacentral:rRNA from 1 species
GAUGAACGCUAGCUACAGGCUUAACACAUGCAAGUCGAGGGACCGGCGCACGGGUGAGUAACACGUAUCCAACCUGCCCUUUACUCGGGGAUAGCCUUUCGUAAGAAAGAUUAAUACCGGAUAUACAGGAGGGGGAUGCGUUCCAUUAGGUUGUUGGGGAGGUAACGGCGCACCAAGCGUUAGAUGGAGAGGGGUUCUGAGAGGAAGGUCCCCCACAUGGGAACGGAGACACGGUCCAAACUACUACGGGAGGCAGCAGUGAGGAAUAUUGGUCAAUGGGCGCUAGCCUGAACCAUCCAAGUAGCGUGAAGGAUGAAGGCUUAUGGGUCGUAAACUUCUUUUAUAUAAGUAUAUGUAUUAUAUGAAUAAGGAUCGGCUAACUCCGUGCCAGCCGCCGCGGUAAUAC